rnacentral:sRNA from 20 species
AAAUAAAAGGAUGUUAUCACUAAUACAAGUGAGCAGGAACCUAUUUAAUCACAUCAGAAGAAGUUUCUUGAUGUUUUUAAGUAGGUUCCUUUUAUUUUA